rnacentral:rRNA from 1 species
AAAUUGAAGAGUUUGAUCAUGGCUCAGAUUGAACGCUGGCGGCAGGCCUAACACAUGCAAGUCGAGCGGUAACACAGAGAGCUUGCUCUCGGGUGACGAGCGGCGGACGGGUGAGUAAUGUCUGGGAAACUGCCUGAUGGAGGGGGAUAACUACUGGAAACGGUAGCUAAUACCGCAUAACGUCGCAAGACCAAAGUGGGGGACCUUCGGGCCUCAUGCCAUCAGAUGUGCCCAGAUGGGAUUAGCUAGUAGGUGGGGUAAUGGCUCACCUAGGCGACGAUCCCUAGCUGGUCUGAGAGGAUGACCAGCCACACUGGAACUGAGACACGGUCCAGACUCCUACGGGAGGCAGCAGUGGGGAAUAUUGCACAAUGGGCGCAAGCCUGAUGCAGCCAUGCCGCGUGUAUGAAGAAGGCCUUCGGGUUGUAAAGUACUUUCAGCGAGGAGGAAGGCGUUAAGGUUAAUAACCUUGGCGAUUGACGUUACUCGCAGAAGAAGCACCGGCUAACUCCGUGCCAGCAGCCGCGGUAAUACGGAGGGUGCAAGCGUUAAUCGGAAUUACUGGGCGUAAAGCGCACGCAGGCGGUCUGUCAAGUCGGAUGUGAAAUCCCCGGGCUCAACCUGGGAACUGCAUUCGAAACUGGCAGGCUAGAGUCUUGUAGAGGGGGGUAGAAUUCCAGGUGUAGCGGUGAAAUGCGUAGAGAUCUGGAGGAAUACCGGUGGCGAAGGCGGCCCCCUGGACAAAGACUGACGCUCAGGUGCGAAAGCGUGGGGAGCAAACAGGAUUAGAUACCCUGGUAGUCCACGCCGUAAACGAUGUCGACUUGGAGGUUGUGCCCUUGAGGCGUGGCUUCCGGAGCUAACGCGUUAAGUCGACCGCCUGGGGAGUACGGCCGCAAGGUUAAAACUCAAAUGAAUUGACGGGGGCCCGCACAAGCGGUGGAGCAUGUGGUUUAAUUCGAUGCAACGCGAAGAACCUUACCUACUCUUGACAUCCAGAGAACUUAGCAGAGAUGCUUUGGUGCCUUCGGGAACUCUGAGACAGGUGCUGCAUGGCUGUCGUCAGCUCGUGUUGUGAAAUGUUGGGUUAAGUCCCGCAACGAGCGCAACCCUUAUCCUUUGUUGCCAGCGGUUAGGCCGGGAACUCAAAGGAGACUGCCAGUGAUAAACUGGAGGAAGGUGGGGAUGACGUCAAGUCAUCAUGGCCCUUACGAGUAGGGCUACACACGUGCUACAAUGGCAUAUACAAAGAGAAGCGACCUCGCGAGAGCAAGCGGACCUCAUAAAGUAUGUCGUAGUCCGGAUUGGAGUCUGCAACUCGACUCCAUGAAGUCGGAAUCGCUAGUAAUCGUAGAUCAGAAUGCUACGGUGAAUACGUUCCCGGGCCUUGUACACACCGCCCGUCACACCAUGGGAGUGGGUUGCAAAAGAAGUAGGUAGCUUAACCUUCGGGAGGGCGCUUACCACUUUGUGAUUCAUGACUGGGGUGAAGUCGUAACAAGGUAACCGUAGGGGAACCUGCGGUUGGAUCACCUCCUUACCUUAAAGAA